AUGUGCUGGCUUUGGCAGCACAUAUACGAAAAGAUUGGAACGAUACAGAGAAGAUUAGCAUGGAUCCUGUUCAAGAAUGCAACAAAAAUUCAUAAGAGUGUUCCAUAUUAAA